rnacentral:rRNA from 1 species
UACGUAGGGGGCAAGCGUUGUCCGGAAUCAUUGGGCGUAAAGAGCGUGUAGGCGGCCCGAUAAGUCCGCUGUGAAAGUCCAGGGCUCAACCCUGGGAUGCCGGUGGAUACUGUCGGGCUCGAGUCCGGAAGAGGCAAGUGGAAUUCCUGGUGUAGCGGUGAAAUGCGCAGAUAUCAGGAGGAACACCAAUGGCGAAGGCAGCUCGCUGGGACGUGACUGACGCUGAGACGCGGAAGCGUGGGGAGCAAACAGG